GAUGAACGCUGGCGGCGUGCCUAAUACAUGCAAGUCGAGCGAACAGACGAGGAGCUUGCUCCUCUGACGUUAGCGGCGGACGGGUGAGUAACACGUGGAUAACCUACCUAUAAGACUGGGAUAACUUCGGGAAACCGGAGCUAAUACCUGAUAAUAUAUUGAACCGCAUGGUUCAAUAGUGAAAGACGGUUUUGCUGUCACUUAUAGAUGGAUCCGCGCCGCAUUAGCUAGUUGGUAAGGUAACGGCGUACCAAGGCAACGAUGCGUAGCCGACCUGAGAGGGUGAUCGGCCACACUGGAACUGAGACACGGUCCAGACUCCUACGGGAGGCAGCAGUAGGGAAUCUUCCGCAAUGGGCGAAAGCUUGACGGAACAACGCCGCGUGAGUGAUGAAGGUCUUCGGAUCGUAAAACUCUGUUAUUAGGGAAGAACAAAUGUGUAAGUAACUAUGCACGUCUUGACGGUACCUAAUCAGAAAGCCACGGCUAACUACGUG
rnacentral:rRNA from 1 species